ACGGCUCAGUAACACGUGGAUAACCUGCCCUAAGGAAGGGGAUAACCUCGGGAAACUGAGGAUAAUACCCUAUAGGUUACAGACGCUGGAAUGCCCUGUAACCGAAAGUUCCGGCGCCUUAGGAUGGAUCUGCGGCCGAUUAGGUUAUUGUUGGGGUAACGGCCCAACAAGCCGAUAAUCGGUACGGGUUGUGGGAGCAAGAGCCCGGAGUUGGAUUCUGAGACAUGAAUCCAGGCCCUACGGGGCGCAGCAGGCGCGAAAACUUUACAAUGCGGGAAACCGUGAUAAGGGAACCCCGAGUGCCUGUAUAUGCAGGCUGUCCAGGUGUCUAAAAAACACCUGAAGAAAGGGCCGGGCAAGACCGGUGCCAGCCGCCGCGGUAAUACCGGCGGCUCGAGUGGUGGCCACUUUUAUUGGGCUUAAAGCGUUCGUAGCUGGGUUGUUAAGUCUCUUGGGAAAUCUGACGGCUCAACCGUCAGGCGUCCAAGGGAUACUGGCAAUCUUGGAACCGGGAGAGGUGAGGGGUACUUCGGGGGUAGGAGUGAAAUCCUGUAAUCCUCGAGGGACCACCUGUGGCGAAGGCGCCUCACCAGAACGGCUUCGACAGUGAGGGACGAAAGCUGGGGGAGCAAACCGGAUUAGAUACCCGGGUAGUCCAGCCGUAAACGAUGCGCGUUAGGUGUAUCGGUGACCACGAGUCACCGAGGUGCCGAAGGGAAACCGUGAAACGUGCCGCCUGGGAAGUACGGUCGCAAGGCUGAAACUUAAAGGAAUUGGCGGGGGAGCAC
rnacentral:rRNA from 1 species